GAUUCUCACAGCUACUCCAUCUGUGAAAGCUCCUGGGAGAGGGGUAAGGCGGCCUCCAAAGACCACUUGGAAUUGCCUCACCCAGAAGAUCAGAACCCUACUUUCUGGGCAGAUACAUGGGAUCCUCUAUAAUCUGGUUCACUAGACCAAUCUCACUGAUCACCAUUCAGUGAGAGUUGCAAAGAUACGGAGAAAUGGAAUUAAAGCUAUCAAAAUAAGAAAAUUCCUGAUCAAAAGUUUUCAACUACUUAUCUACAGGAAAAGUUAUUUUAUGUGUAGUAAACUAAAUUCAUUUACAAUGUCUUUGUGAGUUAUUAAUCAUCCGCCAGUGGGAGGCAGGCAACAGGAGAAACAGGCUGUGUAUCUGAGAGUGGGACCCCUUAAGAGUGCAAAGGAGAAGGGGAGAGGAGAGAAGGUGACAAUAUGUUGCAGUUUCAUUAUUACAAUUUACAACAGCCUACACAUGUUUAAUCCUGAUUUUCUUCUCUUUGAGGCACUCACAGUGCAAGUGAAGAAUUAAAUCCCGUCUUUAUUUAAAAUGUUGAUAUUUUGUUAAUCAUAGAUUUUUGUGCAUUGUUUGAUAUCUAUGUACUUGUAAUAGGUUGUGAUACACAUAAUUUGCAACUAUGUACAAAUAAACUGUGGUAUCUUACUAAUUGAAACAGAAGCAGUAGUUGAAAUUUAUAAAAAGUUUUGUAGGUAUACAGUAACGGAACUAAUUUAUUUUGGGUGUGUUUUUGUAUGAUGAAUACAAAAGUAUACUACAUAGUAUUUUAAAAGUGUUUGAGCCUUUGACUGUUUUAUGAAUUAACCUAAGUAACAGUACCAAACUUUUUGUAAAUGAGUCCUCAAAGUUUUGGUUAUAUUUUAUUUAAAAUUAGUUGAAAAUUGUAAAUCAAAAUAUUUUCAAUGGAGUACUCCUACAUUUUUAACUUCUGAAGCUUUUGGCAAGUUGCAAUUUCUCAAUACAAAUCUGGCAAACAAAAAAGACAUUGAAAUUCAUUUCUAUAAAAGCCAGAGACAAACUGCAUGAAAUAAAAACUGAAAGCUCCUAUGGGGUGCACAAUUUAAUUUGGAAAUUCUUGAUUGGCUCUUAGGAAUAUUUUGAUUAGAGGAAAGAAUCUUUUGAUGGAUUUCUUGUUUUUUAGUAAAUUGUUAAUAUUCUCUAUCAAAAUAAAGUAUAAAAUUGAGAAAAUUUCAUUUCUCACAAUUAUAGUGAUUAAAUUUGGCAAAACACUAAAAUGAAACAACCUGUCAACUAAGACAACUUAGUUUUGUCUUCUUAGUUUUAUCUCUUAAAUCUAACCUUCUGUACCUCUGUGCUGCAUUCUGGUUAAUUUUUUUGGAUCUUCCAGUUCACUGACUCUCUUCAGCAAGUCUAAUCUGCUAUUAGAUUCGUCCACUGAGUUUUAUAUUUUAACUGUUAUUAUUGUUCAUUUUUAGAAUUUUGAUUGCAUAUUUUUAAAAAUGUCUAGUCAUUCUUUAUAAUUUUUACUCACUCCUCAUAUUGUCAGACUUCUUUUUAUUUCAUUAUACAUAAUAAACAUAAUUUAUAUUUAGUGUCUCUGUUAACUCUAAUAGCUUAAGUCUCUGGGUUUGCUUCUGCAGGUUCUCACUCAUGGUGACCUCUUCCAUUAUCUGUUUUAUGCUCACUGCAUACUGCUUAUUUUCUUUGGAACUUUAUCUUUGAGGAUUUGUUGAUGCCUUGUUGAAGGUGGGUUCCUUCAGAGACGAUAUACAAUUGUUUUUGCCAGAAACCUGAGAAUACUUCCAGACUGGGACCACUGCAAACUGGAUUUCAGAGUGAGGUUUGUUUUAGACCAACCAACUUAAAUGAAUUUGGUCUGCAUCCCCAUGUGAGGAUACUUUUUCUGCUACGAACUCUCAGAAGAGAUUUUUUUUGUUUUCUGUCGACAGCACCAAGGUUGGAGAUGGGCAAGUUUCCUGCAGCUGUUGGCAGGCUAGGCAUUCGUUUCUAGUUCUCUUUUACACUGAGGAUAUAGCUUUUUGGUUUCCAACUUUAAGGGAAGGUGGCCUAUUAGACAACCCACCUUGGGCAGGUCCUAGGCUUUGUUUCUUGUCCCCAUACUCUGUGAGUCAAGGUCAAGGUCAAAAGCCCUUAAGACAAAAGCCAGCUUCACUGCUGUCAGUAUGUAGAAUUCCUGCCAUUAUUUAAAUUUUGACUUGAGCAUUUUUUACUUCUUGCAAGACAAUGAAUGAUUUAA
rnacentral:lncRNA from 1 species